rnacentral:rRNA from 1 species
UACAGAGGUCCCGAGCGUUGUUCGGAUUCAUUGGGCGUAAAGGGUGCGUAGGCGGCGGGGUAAGUCUGAUGUGAAAGGCCAAGGCUCAACCUUGGUAUGGCAUUGGAUACUGCCUUGCUAGAGUCCUGGAGAGGAGACUGGAAUUUACGGUGUAGCAGUGAAAUGCGUAGAGAUCGUAAGGAAGACCAGUGGCGAAGGCGAGUCUCUGGACAGGAACUGACGCUGAGGCACGAAGGCCAGGGGAGCAAACGGG